AAAAGAAAGGUGAUUACUAGAAGGUAAGAAUUGUAUAAAUGCUGGAAAGUACCUUAAGUCAGUGACCUUCGGUUGACCUCCUCCACUGCUGGUGUGAGCCCUGAUAUUUUUUUUUCAGAGCUAAGUUAGCACCUCUGCCAUCCUUUCCUUUGAUCAAAUCUUACUCAAUUUCAUACCAAGUUGCUGAUUUGUAAGCAAAAUCCAAAUAUAGGAAUAAUUAAAAGAAUGAGCUCUUGUAAAUCUGAAGAGAGUGCAUCAGGAUACAAUAAAACACAAGUGUUUCCUGGGACUUGCUUGACCAUUAAAAAUUUGCAGUUUAUAUUGCAUAAUACAAUUUUCUGACUGUUUUUUGAUAGCAGCUAUUUCUAAAUAGGCAAAUCAGCUGUCAUUGCAACACUUGGCUUUUCCCAGACCAGACCCAUUGAUCGGAAUGAAAAAGACAGUGCAAACUUGAGUUUGUUGGUUGUUUUCUGAGAUUUCAAAGGGACUUCAUAUUCUAAAGCAUGUAAUUUCUUUUUUCAGUCUCAUCUACUAGCUCCUUGUCAUCCUUCAUUCUCCCUCGUCUGACAUCAGUUUCUCUCUUGUCCAUUUAAAACUGAAACUUGAAAAACUGCAGUUUUAUACUUUGUAUUAUUCUUCUACCCCAGAGCUGUUUUUAGUGUCUUUAUUGCAAGUAGACAGAUGGUGAUAUUUGGUUUCCUGUCAGUUUUAAUGAAUAUAGAUAGGAGUGAUAAGAACAUUUGCUUCGUUUAGCAAACUUCCUUUUCUGGCUUUUAAUUAAUGAAGUGCUCACUGGUGUGCCGCUGCUUUUGUAUGUGCUACAGUAAAAUCUCUUCUACAACUCAACUCGUAGUGUCGGAUAAUGAGAAAAGAGGAUGAAAAUAACUUUUUCUCUCCAGAUCCUUUAAAGUUUACUUACCCAGACUUGGAACACUGCAGACAUCAGCCAUGGAACUGCUCGUACGAGCUGCUGUAGCAGCAUCCUUUGUAGCUGCGUAGUUUGGUAAUAUUUUGUUUUGAUACCAAGAACCCAAAGGAAGUGGUCUGUGUUUGGUGUCUGCUUAACCUUGGGUGAGGUUCAGCUCAGCUUUGGAGUGAUUUGCUUCUCAUGCAACUUCACAAAUAGGAUAAGGUCCACAGUAGAAACUUGGUAAAAUGGAAAAAAAAAACCCCUUGGCUUUUCAACCUUUUUUCCCUGCAAUUUGUCCUGCUUCUGAGAGAACUGAAACACUAAUCUUUAACAUUGAUUAUUUUUUUUUUCCAAAUAGUUUGAUUUCUGUGUUAGCUUAGCACAGACAUUAUUUGAGAUUAUUGUGAACUAUUUUAGAGUUCAUUAUUUUUAAGGUCUUUUUCCAGUGUUUAACACUAAGGGGUUUUCCUUUCUCUGUGUAUAUUGGGUUUUUAAUACCAAGGCAGAAUCAGUGCUUGUAGGCAAAGUUGUUUAAAUAAUUUCUUCUUUGCCAUAACAGUUUUGGUUUCUUUAAUGGUAAAAGUAAUCAUGUCUGUGUGUAUAAAACAUUGCUGUGGGUAAAGUCUGAAUCCUGGCUGUGGACUUAAAAUCUUCUUUAGCUUGGUAGCUCUAAUAGUUUAACAUUAUCACCACAUGGAGAGGAGUGAAGGACCACAAGGUGAUCUUUGGGAACAUUAUUUUCUGAAGUAUCUGACUAUUGCUAAUUCUGAAGAAAUGGAUUUUAAACCUGUUGUGUCUUAAUAUUCCUGUUUCUUGAGUUAAAAAAUGGACUAGAUUUUGUACUUUCUUCGGGACUUUUGUUUUGCUGUAGCCUUAUAAGGGUAGGAUUUGGUUCCCUGGUGGCAAAUCUGUUCGGGGAAAAAAAAAAAGUUGGUUUAUUUUAGCAAAGCUGUUUUAAAAUACUCCAACAAGCCUGGCAGGAGGCAGAAAUAGUUGUUAUUUUAUGUUAUUUCUUAGGUCUUUCUGAAAACGUCACAAAGUGCAAACCCUGUUCCUAUGGAAAACUCUUCUCCCAGUGAAAGAUUACCUCCAUUUUAAAUGAGUUAAAAAAAACCCAAAUUGUUUUCUCUGAUGCAUUUGGUGAAGGCAAAUAAUCAGGUACGUGUGCUGUGUUUAUUGCACGGAUGGUCUCACCUCUGCAAACAGUGACUGAGGUUUUGAGUGUGUCCUUCCUUCCCAAAGGUCACAAGUAAGAAAACAAACCCCUGAAAAGGACGUCUCAAGAACAGCUUAUGUUUAAAUGAAUACUUUCUGUGCUUGUGUUCACUGCUGGGGGGUUUGCAGUUCUCGUGGCUGUGCUGGUUUGUGCAAGGGUGAUGAGGAGGGAACGUGUGAGCCAUUUCAGAAGGGAACAUGGAUCUCUGUGGGCAGCUGCAGCAUGGUGCCUUCUGCUUCAGUACCUGGAGGACAGCUGAUCUUCUGUGGGACCAAACCCAGGCAUGCUCAUGUACUCUCUUUUUAUCAUGAAGGUCCUUUCUUCUGAACUAGAAAUUAACCUUGUUCCAGACAGCAGCGCACAGUUCCAGGGUCCGUUUUAAUCUAUUUUCCGUGCAGAAAUCAGUGUAAACAAGAAAUUCAUGGUGGUGCCUCCUGGUGUGUAGGCAAGAACAUUUUAACAUUGUUAGUUGCAGUGUUACGGUUGUGCUUUUCAUCUCAUUCUGGUUCUUUGUCAUCCUUCAGGAAACAGAACCACGUGUCUUCUCUCUUGUAAUAAAAGAAUGCUUUCUGAUGCCUCUCAGCUGGUGUUCCUCACUGUAUUUGACAUAGAGAGAAACAAAAGGAAGAUACAGAAGAGAAGUUGAAGAAGAAAGGAAAGACAGAGGAAAAAAUAGUGGAGAAAAUCAGAACUGAGUUGGCUUUUCUAAAAGGAGUUGUCCAGGAAGCAAAAUGAGCAGCUUCCCUCCUUUUUUUGUCUUUCUGUUUUUAGCCCAUCCCAGCUACUGCAAUUCUGAGAUAAGUGGGUCAGGCAAAAGGGCAUAAUUAAUAGUGAUUUCACAGUUGCUGUGGGUACAGGAGAGCAUAGUGGGAAGAAUGGAUUCAAGGAAAUGUUGGCAGGCUCUCAGUGGAAAGCUCCCAGCUGAGCCCCGGGUUGCCAUGCCCAUCUUCUGCCAUGAGAUUUUGUGCCAGCCAGGUGGGAGCUGGAUCAGAGUGGGAAUAGAGCAGAUGGACGCUCUACUGGAUGCUCUGGUGGAUGAAGUGCAGCACAUCUUAAGUACACUGAAUUUAGUAUGGGACAGGAUGCAUUUGUGAGAGCAGCUGGGGAAGGGAUGAAUCAACCCUUUGAAAAGCAUUGUGGGGAAACAAAGAGCUAAAUACCCUGACCAGGGGGCAUAAUGGCACAUAAUUUUUUCUGUCAGAUAUUCUGAGUUUAUUACUAAGGAGCAUUUCUUGUGUCCCACAUGCACCUCCAGUUUCUGUUACCUUGCAGUGCUUUGUUUCCUCUAGUUGGUGAUCAUGUAGCAUCAGCGAGGCUUGUGUGGGAUGUGGUGCACAUGGUCCAAGGACAGCAAUCUGUGCAUUUCUGCUGAGAAAUUAACUUGAUUUUAACAUCUGGAGAUAAGGAGAGAGCACAUGCAGAAAGUUACAGUUUGAAGGAGCUGCUGCAGAGAAACUUCAAACAGAUAUAGUGGCAUUGCUUUCAUGGAAGAUGGAUGGGCAAACCACUUGCAUUGUUCAAAUCUGCUUUCUUCAAAGUUUAAUUGUAUUUGCUUUUCUUUUCCUGAUGGAGCCAAGUUGCUGUGUCCUGGCCAGGAGAUGGUGCCAUGUUUUUGGAUGCUUGUAAAGCCCUGAUGGAUCUUUCUGAAUUCUGGUGCCUCAUCUGCUCUUGAGCAGGUGGAGCCCCUUGGAUUAAUAUUCCCAACAGUCUCUGUGUUUGAAUUACACAUGCCCAACAUCACCUACCUGUGUUUGUCACCAGAGCCUGCAAGAAAAGCUUUUUCUGUGUUGAGGAGGAAAUGCCUGAACAGCAUUCAGCACAGCCACUCUGGAAAUGGAGUUGGUGGGAGCAGCGUGUCCUUGUUGCUCAUAAAGAUUCACUUCACAUUAAAGAUCCAGCUGUGGCCUUUCAGAGCCAGCUGUUGGGAGAUGACUGAUGUGCAUCCCUUGCUGGGGAUGGGUUGGUUGUGAGGUUGGACACUUGUGCUUGCAGAAGAAAGGCGAUGUAUGGGAUGGGCACUCCCUGAUGAAGAGGGGGAGUGCAGCCCCCUUUCCCCAUCACCUUGGGAAGAUGAUGUUAUUUUUUUGCCUCCAGAAAAAUAGUAAAUUCAUGCUUUUAAAUCUGUAAAGUGCUUGGGGGUACCAACAUAUUGCAGAAUAGUUGGUUAUGUACAUCUCGUGGUUUCAGCUCUUGAAUGCAGAGGAUGAAGCAGAAACAUCUGAGGGGUUGGGUUUUUAUUUUAGAUCAAGUCUAUGUCUCAGAUUUUAGGACAUAUUAGUAAACUUCAUUCUGCUGUUUCUCCAUGUGGGUUUGAGAUUUAUGGUAUUGAACCUUUGUCCUUUUCAUUAAAGUAAAAAAGACUGUUCUCUCUGUGA